UUUUUUUUUUUUUUUUUUAGGCAAAGAAUGCAAAGCUUACCCAGGCAGCAAGAGCUGACGUGAUGAAAUGUUUGAAGACUACCCUUAAACAAAAAAAAGCCUCUGACAUCCACACAAGAUACUUCUGACGAGACAAACAUUGACAUGUUUGAAAAGAAAAGUUUACAUUAUAUAUGUUUUCUAACUUUUUAUCUUUAUUUUUUAUGAUUUUUCUUUGAAGGCAACUCAAAGUUUCCUCUCUGUUUUUAAGGAUGAUGACGAUAAUGUUGGUGUGUCACAUUCAAAAUUCUGUGGUCCACUUGCUGCAUCAACUCACAGAGAGUUGUUUGAUGAAGAUGAAGAAGAAAGCCUUCUAGGUUGUCACCAGCCAGAGAAAGUCAUGGUAGAAAUUGAUAAUGAUGCCAUAAUUACAUCCCUCCGUGAACUGCCUGAGUCGGUCAAGUCUGUCAAGGAGUGCAUGGAAUAGCAAGCUUUCAGAGCAGCACUCCAUCAUCUGUGAUUUCAAUGUCGGGAGCAUCAACUUCAUCAUCUGUACCAGAUGACGAGGUUGAAAUGCAGUCCUUGGCCAAGUCUAAUGUCAUGGUUCCCCAAAAAAACCUACCAAAGACUCAACCGAACCAGGAUGAGCAUCUUUGCGCAGGAGCUGGCCAUGUUGGUCUUUACCAAAGAAACCUUGAGCGAAUCCACCCUUACCGGAAAGUCUUAUGUGGAGAAGGUGCAUGCUAUAACAGGCAAGCCAAUAAAAAUGGAUGUGUAUUGUUCCAGCAAGUUUACCAGUCAACAACUUUUCUUAACUGAGGUU